rnacentral:tRNA from 1 species
GGGAAUGUGGCUUAGUGGUAGAGUGCUUGCCUAGCAUGCAUGAAACCCUGGGUUCGAUUCCUCAAUACCA